UACGUAGGGUGCAAGCGUUGUCCGGAAUUAUUGGGCGUAAAGAGCUCGUAGGCGGUCUGUCACGUCGGACGUGAAAAUCCAGGGCUCAACCCUGGACCUGCGUUCGAUACGGGCAGACUAGAGUUCGGUAGGGGAGACUGGAAUUCCUGGUGUAGCGGUGAAAUGCGCAGAUAUCUGGAGGAACACCGGUGGCGAAGGCGACAUCCUGGACCGGUAUUGACGCUGAGGCGCGAAAGCCAGGGGAGCAAACGGG
rnacentral:rRNA from 1 species